CACCAGCAGCAGCACAGCCCCUCCAGCCACAGAGCCUUCUGUUCAGUGCAAGUUCUCUUGCUCCUUCGAUGAGGGCCUCUGCUCCUGGACACAAUCAAUUUUCGACAGCUUUGACUGGGUGCGGCACAAAGGCCCAACAGCCUCACCCGGCACAGGCCCAUCAUCUGACCACACCUCUGGAGAGGGCUACUACAUGUACCUGGAAGGUAACCAAACCAACUCACAA